AGCUUUUUGAAUCCGUGCUGAGAUUUCGUCAAACACCAACCCAUUAUAGCUGAUCAGACUUUCAAGAUAAGUGGAGUU
rfam:Schistosoma rodhaini strain Burundi genome assembly, scaffold: SROB_scaffold0015702